UCCGUAGGUGAACCUGCGGAAGGAUCAUUACAGAAUAUACUUAUUCUCACCCUCUGUGUACCAAACCACUGUUGCCUCGGCGCGCCCCUGCGUCAGAGGACCUAAACGCUGAAAUUAUACUGUCUGAGUUGCUAUGCAAAAUAGUCAAAACUUUCAACAACGGAUCUCUUGGUUCGGGUAUUGAUGAAGAACGCAGCGAAAUGCGAUAAGUAAUGCGAAUUGCAGAAUUCAGUGAGUCAUCAAAUCUUUGAACGCACAUUGCGCUCCCUGGUAUUCCGGGGAGCAUGCCUGUCUGAGCGUCAUUACAACCUUUGCGCUCUGCGCAGUGUUGAGCGCAGCCUCCUGGGCUCGCUUCAAAUCCAGUGGCAGCACCGCAGAGCCCCUACGCGCAGUGAUCACCGCCGCCGGUGGAGCGCUGCGAGUGCUCGCCCGUCAACCCCCCACUUGCUAGGUUGACCUCAGAUCAGGCAGAGAUACCCGCUGAACUUAAGCAUAUCAAUAAGCGGAGGGAAGUCGGACUGGCCAAGGGGCACACCAGGGGGGGGGGAUA
rnacentral:rRNA from 1 species